rnacentral:rRNA from 1 species
GACGAACGCUGGCGGCGUGCUUAACACAUGCAAGUCGAGCGAUGAUGCUUCUUCGGAAGUGGAUUAGCGGCAGACGGGUGAGUAACACGUGGGUAACCUGCCUCAUAGAGGGGAAUAGCCUUCCGAAAGGAAGAUUAAUACCGCAUAAGAUUGUAAUCUCGCAUGAUAUAGCAAUUAAAGGAGUAGUCCGCUAUGAGAUGGACCCGCGUCGCAUUAGCUAGUUGGUGAGGUAACGGCUCACCAAGGCGACGAUGCGUAGCCGACCUGAGAGGGUGAUCGGCCACAUUGGGACUGAGACACGGCCCAGACUCCUACGGGAGGCAGCAGUGGGGAAUAUUGCACAAUGGGGGAAACCCUGAUGCAGCAACGCCGCGUGAGUGAUGACGGUCUUCGGAUUGUAAAGCUCUGUCUUUAGGGACGAUAAUGACGGUACCUAAGGAGGAAGCCACGGCUAACUACGUGCCAGCCGCCGCCGUAACAC